CCUCGGUCGUGUGCAGUCCUAGUAAAAAGUUUGAAAUUCCGGAAGCCGAAUUACAAUGGAGCCUUUUGAAGAUCUUAAUUAACGGUUAAUCAACGGCUUAAAACGGUUCAUCAAUUCUUUAAUUAAUUUUUUUUUUGCAAGUAUCUGGAUUUGAAUAUAUUUUAUGAUAUAUAAUUAUUCCCCUUUUUUCUGAUGUCAAAAGAACAAUUGCUAUCCCGAUCCUGAUUCCGCAACUGUUGCUUUGUGUUUUUUCUUUAAGCUCAAAACCUGGUGCCUCUUGCUG